AUCCUUUUGUAAGUCAUAAGUGUGAUGAUUGAGUGUUCCUGCUGUAUUGUGACAUGUGCCUCCUUCAAACCUUGUAAGAACUGCAGCAUAUUGCCCAUCUCAUG
rnacentral:snoRNA from 1 species